rnacentral:rRNA from 1 species
CCUCCUUCGGGAGGGGAUUAGUGGCGAACGGGUGAGUAACACGUGGGCAAUCUGCCCUUCACUCUGGGACAAGCCCUGGAAACGGGGUCUAAUACCGGAUAACACUGCGGAUCGCAUGGUCUGCGGUUGAAAGCUCCGGCGGUGAAGGAUGAGCCCGCGGCCUAUCAGCUUGUUGGUGGGGUGAUGGCCUACCAAGGCGACGACGGGUAGCCGGCCUGAGAGGGCGACCGGCCACACUGGGACUGAGACACGGCCCAGACUCCUACGGGAGGCAGCAGUGGGGAAUAUUGCACAAUGGGCGAAAGCCUGAUGCAGCGACGCCGCGUGAGGGAUGACGGCCUUCGGGUUGUAAACCUCUUUCAGCAGGGAAGAAGCGAAAGUGACGGUACCUGCAGAAGAAGCGCCGGCUAACUACGUGCCAGCAGCCGCGGUAAUACGUAGGGCGCAAGCGUUGUCCGGAAUUAUUGGGCGUAAAGAGCUCGUAGGCGGCUUGUCGCGUCGGAUGUGAAAGCCCGGGGCUUAACCCCGGGUCUGCAUUCGAUACGGGCAGGCUAGAGUGUGGUAGGGGAG